GACGAACGCUGGCGGCGUGCCUAAUACAUGCAAGUCGAGCGCUUGAGGUUGGUUCUUGUACCGAUUGGGUGAGCGGCGGACGGGUGAGUACCGCGUGGGGAACCUGCCGUUGAGCGGGGGACAACAUUUGGAAACCAAUGCUAAUACCGCAUAAGAACUUGAAACACAAGGUUCAUGUUUGAAAGAGGCAUUUGCAUCACCCAAAUAGGAUCCCCCGUUGGAUUAGCUAGUGGGUUGGGUAAACGCCUACCAAGGCGAGGUUCCAUAGCGGGUCUGAGAGGAGGAUCGGCCACAUUGGAACUGAGACACGGUCCAGACUCCUACGGGAGGCAGCAGUGGGGAAUAUUGGACAAUGGGCGAAAGCCUGACGCAGCAAGGCCGCGUGUGUGAAGAAGGUCUUCGGAUUGUAAAGCCCUUUAAUUUGGGAGGAAGGUCAGUAGGUUGAAACGUUCAUGAAUUGACGGUACCUACACAGAAAGCAACGGCUAACUACGUG
rnacentral:rRNA from 1 species